rnacentral:rRNA from 1 species
GAUGAACGCUGGCGGCGUGCCUAAUACAUGCAAGUCGAGCGAACAGACGAGAGUUCUUGCACUCUCUGACGUUAGCGGCGGACGGGUGAGUAACACGUGUGUAACCUACCUAUAAGACUGGGAUAACUUCGGGAAACCGGAUCUAAUACCGGAUAAUAUUUAGCUUCGUAUGUAGCAAUAGUGACAGACGGUUCUGCUGUCACUUAUAGAUGGACCCGCGGUGUAUUAGCUAGUUGGUGAGGUAACGGCUCACCAAGGCAACGAUACAUAGCCGACCUGAGAGGGGGAUCGGCCACACUGGGACUGAGAGACGGUCCAGACUCCUACGGUAAGCAGCAGUAGGGAAUCUACCGCUAUGGACGAAAGUCUGACGGAGCAAUGUCGCGUGAGUCACGAAGGUUUUCGGAUCGUAAAACUCUGUUGUAAGGGAAGAACAAGUACGUUAGUAACUGAACGUAUCUUGACGGUACCUAAGCAGAAAGCCACGGCUAACUACGUG